GUUGACGGCGCCUACGAAACACAGGCCGGCGGUCGUCGCGAUGCUCUGCAAACGAACGAGCUAUUAACUUUCGUGCAUUUAUUCUGAGGCUUCGCUCGUGAAAAACGCAUCGCAUAUCUUCUGCGCGACUCUUCCGCUACCAUCCGCGCCACUGGGUGCGAUCGCUAAAGUCGUCACCAGGAAAUCGGCCGGAUUAUAAUUCCACGGGCACUCGUAGCCUUGACUAGGGGCGACAACGAUAGGGAGCGUUUCAAUUUAAUGUGUUCUAGAAUGGCAUCCUUUCAGAGCAAUUAAUUGAAACGUGAAAAGGCGAUAAUCGUAUGGAAUCAUUUAUAAAUUGAGAAAUAAAGUAAGAUAAAUUGUAAAGAA